rnacentral:rRNA from 1 species
AAUCAACGCUGGCGGCGUGCCUCAGACAUGCAAGUCGAACGAUUAAAGCUCUCUUCGGAGAGUGCAUAAAGUGGCGCACGGGUGAGUAACACGUAAGUAAUCUACCUUCGAGUGGGGAAUAACGUCCGGAACGGACGCUAAUACCGCAUAACGCAGCGGCAUCGCAAGAUGACAGUUGUUAAAGAUUUAUCGCUUGAAGAGGAGCUUGCGGCAGAUAGCUUGUUGGUAAGGUAACGGCUUACCAAGGCUACGAUCUGUAUCCGGUCUAAGAGGACGGUCGGACACACUGACACUGAAUAACGGGUCAGACUCCUACGGGAGGCAGCAGUC